UGCGGGGCUGCGGGGCUGGGGGGAUGCGGGGAUGCGGGGAUGCGGGGCUGUGGGGCUGGGGGCUGCGGGGAUGCGGGGCUGGGGGGCUGCGGGGCUGCGAACGGGACCUUUUCCAGAGAGGUCGGGGAGAGAGGGCGGCUGGCACACACAGAAAGGAAAAUCUGCGGUGGUGCUGCGGUGUGCUCCCUGCCCGGGCUGGCAGCAGCUGCUGGUUCCUGCACAGCGGUACCCGGGCACCUUCGUUAUUGCCAAUAAACUUUGGCCAGGGAGCUGGCGUCCAGAAUUGUUUUACAUACAACAUACCAGUAUGGAAAUUUCUACCCACUAACAGCACGCUGCACCUUUAAUUCAGCGGCUUAAACUUCCUCUUAGGGUUCUUUCAGGAAAAGCCUUGGAACUCUUUCGUUUGAAAAGGAACUUCGGGCCCGUGCAGGGUUGCAAGGCAGACAAUUUUGUACUAGAAAAACACAAACAGAUAACACAAACCCUGCUGGAAUUGGAUUCGUUUGCCCUGCGCCUUCACACAGUGAAAUCUGAGCCCGGCACAUCGAGGCCGGGGGAGUCCAGGCUUCGGGCAGGGCUGGGGCAGCGCCUGGAAUGUGUGGCCGGACUGGUGUCCAUCCAGCCGGGCGCUCACCUGCCCCGGGGAUGUCUCCUCACCUGCCCCCGGGCUCCUCCCAGCCCGUGCUGAAGCUCCUGUGUGAAAUUCCAUGGAAUACGCGUCCCUGGGUGGGAGCAGCUGCCGCUCAGGGGAGCCUGCAGGCAUCUGACACUCAGCGAGGAGCUGGAGCUUUCCAGAACAAGCACGUCGUACAUCACCGUGAAAUCCUACAGCAAGAACCCAUCUUUGCCAAGAUAAAGUUGCAGGCUUUUGUCCCAGCUGACGUAAUUUGUACUUUAAUAAAGCUUUUGCACAGAUCGCGAAUGAUCACACAUCAUCUGUUCCACCAGGUCACCUGAGACACACAGGAAAAAUAAAUGACAGGAGUUACAUUUUAUUUAUAAAGAAAGAAAGAAAGAGAGGGUUUUCUUUGACUACAUCAUUUUCUCCUAGACAUGCAGGCACUUUUCCUCAGCUGAAAAUAUUGAAUAUGUCACUGCACAGCAAUCUAUAGGUACUAAAAGGAGUCUAAUAUUCCUGGUCACUGCAGUGAAUGCUCUUUGUGUAACCGUCCCUUUGUCCUUUAUUGUUCAAGUAUAAUUUAGUUCUCUCCAUUAUAUUAUCUUUAUUACUUAUCACUGAUCAUUCUCGUACGAGGACAACCUACUUUUCUUACUUUAAAUGUCUACAAUGUAUAUAUGAAUGUAUAUACUAUCUAAUACAUCCAAAUGUAUCCAUGUAUCUAUAUGGGAUUAUUUUUUAAAAUUCUUCAUUAUCAACAUUAAAGAAGGGCUUGUUUGUGCUUUUAAAAGAAGGAAUUCUAGGCCUAAUUCAUAUGUAUGAACACGAUCAAGUUAUAUGUGCAAACAGAUGUAAAGAAAUCCGUGGAUGUAAUUUAUUGCAUAGGGCUCUGAGGAAAAGAACAUACAGACAAGCACACUGUUUUCCUUUAUUUUAUAUCCUAAUCUUCAUUUUAUUGUAUUUUAAUUCCAGAGGAUCCAUUUAUGAAAACACAUCCCAAGUGUUGCCGGGAUAGGCUCAGAGGGCCUUGCUGUAGAACUGUAGGGGAAAGUUGUGGUCCUGUAUCAGCAGAGAUAAUUUGACCCAAUUCGCCUACUUUUAACCUGAAAUUUCCUCUGGGAACUAGUCCAGUGCAAGGUACUCAAAGAUAUCAUAAGCAGGGAAAUACAUAGUGUUGUGUUUCACAGCAGUGGAAUUGCUGAGUCCCAUAUCCAGGAGUGACCCUGGGAAUUUGGGGGGCAGGGCAGUGAGUUGUCAAUCCCCUGGGUGACCAAAAAAAAAAAAAAAAAAAAACAAAAAAAAACACACAAAAAAAAACCACCUAGAAAAUCUAGUUUAAAAAUCAUGUAAAAUUUAGGCCUCUAUCCUGAAAAACACUUUGGAAAAAGUACUGGUAAUGUAAACAUAAUAAAAACUGACUAAAGCAAUGGAGGAAAA